UCGAAGGCGCGCGCGCUGAUGCGAUGCACGAGCGUGUGAGGCCUUCGUGACCGGAAAUGCGCGAAUAAUAAACAAACAAACACCGAGAAAUAAUAAUAAUUGCUCGUGCACGCUUUAUGGGAGAGAGAAAGGGUUUUUUUGGGUGUUUUGUUUUUGCCCUGUCGUUCAUGCACUGGCACGGAAUUCCCAGGAAUGAGGUGAUGAGGAUAAAAAAAAAAAAAGACGCACUUAAAUAAUAAUAAUAAUAACAAUAAUAAUAACAAUAAUGAUAAUAAUACACUACGGGGAGACGGGCACGCGCAAAAUCGGGGCGCGCGCGCUCGUGACGGAUAUUAUUUAUUUAUAUAAACAGCUAAAUCAUAU